UACGUAGGGGGCAAGCGUUGUCCGGAAUCAUUGGGCGUAAAGAGCGUGUAGGCGGCCCGGUAAGUCCGCUGUGAAAGUCCAGGGCUCAACCCUGGGAUGCCGGUGGAUACUGUCGGGCUCGAGUCCGGAAGAGGAGUGUGGAAUUCCUGGUGUAGUGGUGGAAUGCGCAGAUAUCAGGAGGAACACCGAUGGCGAAGGCAGGUCUCUGGGCCAUUACUGACACUGAGAAGCGAAAGCAUGGGGAGCGAACAGG
rnacentral:rRNA from 1 species